CUCUUUUUUAAAAAGAAUUAAGAUUUUUUUUUUAAUUUUUUUUUCUCUAGGUCACGUGACCCUGCAUGACCAAUGCUGGGUCCGUCACUACAUGAAGGACAAUAAAAAUGCAAUUCCAUGAGAAUAGUAGUUUAGAGUCUUAGUAGAAAUUAAUUUGACCAUAUCGACAAAAGUCAAAGGUAAUACACGAGAUACAUGAAAUUGGAUUACUAGUAUAAAAUGGUCGACAAGAGUUACGAAAGCAUAGAGAAACUUAAGAAAUGACAGAGAGUAUUAUGUUCAGCUUAAUUUCAGUUCUGUUCAGUUCAAUUCGGUUCAACUUUAAUCAAUUUUGUUCAGUUCAGUUCCUACUUUCUUUCAUAAACAAUUCAUUUCAGCUCCAUUCAUUUUAGUUCAAUACAAUUCAGCCCUAAUAAGUUCAAUUUAGUUGUUUUUUCAGUAAAUAGGAACAUAGAAACAGACCUAAGAUAUAACAAAAUAAGCAAUACAUCCAACAAUCACCACAACACACGGUGAUAAGAAAUGACAUGAGAAUAGGCAAAUAAAAGAACAUUUUACCAACAUAUUAUCGAAAUUAAAUAGCUUAAGAAAUGACACGUAAUUGAAAAAAACAAAGACAUAUACUCAUAAUUUUCUUCAAAUUAACUGGUAUAAUAUCGAGUCUUAUACAAGUAAUAUACUAGGAGUACAAAGUAAAAAUUUGGUAAAAAAUGGAUAAAUUUGAAUAAAAUACCUGCCGUAGAUAUAACAUACAAGUAAAGUUUAGCCCAAUAAAAAAUGAAAAAGGAUAAAAAAAAAUAAAAAAAAAAAAAUAAGUUGUAAAAGUAGAAGAAUUACUACACUACAGUACUACUAUAUAUAUACAAGAAAACAAUUUGGCGCCAUUGUUAACUCUUUUAAACAUUACUCUUCUUUCUCUUUCUUCAACAUCUAACGAAUUCACAGGUUCAAUUUUCUCUCUCUUAAUUCAUCAUAUUUCAAUUUUCUCUCUCUUAAUUCAUCAUAUUCAAUUUUCUUGAUGAUUCUUGCUUCAUUCAUCUCAAUUAAAUCAACAUUUUUCAUCAAAUUUUGCAGAAAUUGAAAGAAUCGAACUACUUUCUCGCGCUCUAAUAUCAAUCGAGAUUUUGCAGAAAUUGAAAGAAUCGAACUACUUUCUCGCGCUCUAAUAUCAAUCGAGGAAUUGAAAGAAUCGAAC